GACGUAGGGCGCGAGCGUUGUCCAGAUUUAUUGGGCGUAAAGAGCUCGUAGGCGGCUUGUCGCGUCGUCCGUGAAAACUUGGGGCUCAACCCCAAGCUUGCGGUCGAUACGGGCAGGCUAGAGUUCGGUAGGGGAGACUGGAAUUCCUGGUGUAGCGGUGAAAUGCGCAGAUAUCAGGAGGAACACCGGUGGCGAAGGCGGAUCUCUGGGCCUUACCUGACGCUGAGACGCGAAAGCUAGGGGAGCGAACAGG
rnacentral:rRNA from 1 species